UCUUCCACCUGCUGCGGGCAGAUGAAGUGGAUAUGCGAGUCGAUACCGCCGGCCGUAACGAUCUUGCCUUCGGCGGCGAUCACUUCGGUACCCGGGCCGACCGGCAGGGUCACGCCGGGCUGCACGUCGGGGUUGCCGGCCUUGCCGAUGCCGAAGAUGCGGCCGUUCUUCACGCCGAUAUCGGCUUUUACGAUGCCCCAGUGAUCGAUGAUCAGGGCGUUGGUCAGCACCAGGUCCAUGGCCUCGUCGGCGAGCAUCUGGCCUUGGCCCAUGCCGUCGCGGA
rnacentral:sRNA from 1 species